rnacentral:rRNA from 1 species
GACGAACGCUGGCGGCGUGCUUAACACAUGCAAGUCGAACGAAGUGGCGCACGGGUGAGUAACGUGUAAUCAACCUGCCCUUCAGAGGGGGACAACAGUUGGACACGACUGCUAAUACCGCAUACUGAAGGAGGGGAUUGCGUCUGAUUAGCUAGUUGGAGGGGUAACGGCCCACCAAGGCGAUGAUCAGUAGCCGGUCUGGGAGGAUGAACGGCCACAUUGGGACUGAGACACGGCCCAGACUCCUACGGGAGGCAGCAGUGGGGAAUCUUCCGCAAUGGACGAAAGUCUGACGGAGCAACGCCGCGUGAGUGAUGACGGCCUUCGGGUUGUAAAACUCUGUUAAUCGGGACGCGGUACCGGAAUAGAAAGCCACGGCUAACUACGUGCCAGCAGCCGCGGUAAUUC